UCUUGACUAGUAUAUCGGUUUAGUACACGCGCUUGUCAUUGAUGUCUUCAAGGACGUAAUGAAGUCCGCGCGAAAGCUGGGUUCGACUCCCAGGUCGAGAG